rnacentral:misc_RNA from 1 species
GAUGAAGAACGUAGUGAAAUGCGAUAAGUAAUGUGAAUUGCAGAAUUCCGUGAAUCAUCGAAUCUUUGAACGCACAUUGCGCCCCCUGGUAUUCCGGGGGGCAUGCCUGUCCGAGCGUCAUUGCAACCCUCAAGCACGGCUUGCGUGUUGGGCGCCGUCCCCCGUGGACGCGCCCGAAAGGCAGUGGCGGUACCGUGCUCCGGUGCCCGAGCGUAUGGGCUUAAAACCCGCUCUUGUGGCCCGGCCGGCGCUGGCCUCGACCCCCAACUUUACAAGGUUGACCUCGGAUCAGGUAGGGAUACCCGCUGAACUUAAGCAUAUCAAUAAGCGGAGGA